rnacentral:rRNA from 1 species
CGCCCUUUGAAUUAAUUAACAUAAAGGGUCCUGCCUGCCCAGUGACCAAAAGUUAAACGGCCGCGGUAUCUUGACCGUGCGAAGGUAGCAUAAUCACUUGUCUCCUAAAUAGAGACUGGUAUGAAUGGCAAGACGGAACUUUACUGUCUCUUUCUCUUCAAUUUGAAUUUCACAAUCCCGUGAAGAGGCGGGAAUUGUAUCGUAAGACGAGAAGACCCUGUCGAGCUGAAGUAAAGCCUUGACUUCUACUUACCCUUAACAAUGCCUAAUAGAAUGAGGAUAGUAAAGAAAUAGGGCGUAGAAGAUCAAGACGCACUUUGAUUGGGGCAAUCACGGAGAAAGAAAAUCCUCCGUUACUUAACAGUUUACAAUGUAUAACUUAACUUAAAAGAGCUAUUGCUCUAAAAUCGCGAAACGAAGGUAUGAUCCACUCAUAGUGAUCAAAAGAACAAGUUACCGCAGGGAUAACAGCGUUAUCUUUUCUAAGAGUUCAUAUUGACGAAAAGGUUUGCGACCUCGAUG